rnacentral:rRNA from 1 species
AAGAAAUCAACCGAGAUUCCCCCAGUAGCGGCGAGCGAACGGGGAGCAGCCCAGAGCCUGAAUCAGUAUGUGUGUUAGUGGAAGCGUCUGGAAAGGCGCGCGAUACAGGGUGACAGCCCCGUACACAAAAAUGCACAUGCUGUGAGCUCGAUGAGUAGGGCGGGACACGUGGUAUCCUGUCUGAAUAUGGGGGGACCAUCCUCCAAGGCUAAAUACUCCUGACUGACCGAUAGUGAACCAGUACCGUGAGGGAAAGGCGAAAAGAACCCCGGCGAGGGGAGUGAAAAAGAACCUGAAACCGUGUACGUACAAGCAGUGGGAGCACGCUUAGGCGUGUGACUGCGUACCUUUUGUAUAAUGGGUCAGCGACUUAUAUUCUGUAGCAAGGUUAACCGAAUAGGGGAGCCGAAGGGAAACCGAGUCUUAACUGGGCGUUAAGUUGCAGGGUAUAGACCCGAAACCCGGUGAUCUAGCCAUGGGCAGGUUGAAGGUUGGGUAACACUAACUGGAGGACCGAACCGACUAAUGUUGAAAAAUUAGCGGAUGACUUGUGGCUGGGGGUGAAAGGCCAAUCAAACCGGGAGAUAGCUGGUUCUCCCCGAAAGCUAUUUAGGUAGCGCCUCGUGAAUUCAUCUCCGGGGGUAGAGCACUGUUUCGGCAAGGGGGUCAUCCCGACUUACCAACCCGAUGCAAACUGCGAAUACCGGAGAAUGUUAUCACGGGAGACACACGGCGGGUGCUAACGUCCGUCGUGAAGAGGGAAACAACCCAGACCGCCAGCUAAGGUCCCAAAGUCAUGGUUAAGUGGGAAACGAUGUGGGAAGGCCCAGACAGCCAGGAUGUUGGCUUAGAAGCAGCCAUCAUUUAAAGAAAGCGUAAUAGCUCACUGGUCGAGUCGGCCUGCGCGGAAGAUGUAACGGGGCUAAACCAUGCACCGAAGCUGCGGCAGCGACGCUGAUGCGUUGUUGGGUAGGGGAGCGUUCUGUAAGCCUGCGAAGGUGUGCUGUGAGGCAUGCUGGAGGUAUCAGAAGUGCGAAUGCUGACAUAAGUAACGAUAAAGCGGGUGAAAAGCCCGCUCGCCGGAAGACCAAGGGUUCCUGUCCAACGUUAAUCGGGGCAGGGUGAGUCGACCCCUAAGGCGAGGCCGAAAGGCGUAGUCGAUGGGAAACAGGUUAAUAUUCCUGUACUUGGUGUUACUGCGAAGGGGGGACGGAGAAGGCUAUGUUGGCCGGGCGACGGUUGUCCCGGUUUAAGCGUGUAGGCUGGUUUUCCAGGCAAAUCCGGAAAAUCAAGGCUGAGGCGUGAUGACGAGGCACUACGGUGCUGAAGCAACAAAUGCCCUGCUUCCAGGAAAAGCCUCUAAGCAUCAGGUAACAUCAAAUCGUACCCCAAACCGACACAGGUGGUCAGGUAGAGAAUACCAAGGCGCUUGAGAGAACUCGGGUGAAGGAACUAGGCAAAAUGGUGCCGUAACUUCGGGAGAA